rnacentral:rRNA from 1 species
GAUGAACGCUAGCGGCAGGCUUAACACAUGCAAGUCGAGGGGUAUUGGUUUUCGGACCAAGAGACCGGCGCACGGGUGCGUAACGCGUAUGCAAUCUACCUUUUGCAGAGGGAUAGCCCCAGAGAAAUUUGGAUUAAUACCUCAUAGUAUAGUACUUUGGCAUCAAGGAACUAUUAAAGUCACAACGGCAAAAGAUGAGCAUGCGUCCCAUUAGCUAGUUGGUAAGGUAACGGCUUACCAAGGCUACGAUGGGUAGGGGUCCUGAGAGGGAGAUCCCCCACACUGGUACUGAGACACGGACCAGACUCCUACGGGAGGCAGCAGUGAGGAAUAUUGGACAAUGGGCGCAAGCCUGAUCCAGCCAUGCCGCGUGCAGGAUGACGGUCCUAUGGAUUGUAAACUGCUUUUUAUACAGGAGAAACACUCCGACGUGUCGGAGCUUGACGGUACUGUAAGAAUAAGGAUCGGCUAAACUCCGUGCCAGCAGCCGCGG